UCAACUUUUUCUUCUAAUGUCAUGACUUUUUUCUGCUUCUUGGGAGCACCUCCAGAAUCACUAGUGGCACUUCGUAGGAGUCUCAUUAUGCAGAGUUUAAGGUACUGCACUAAACAUGAUGAAAAAUAUGUGAGAACCUCAAGAGAUUACUUUUUACUUCUAUGUGCAAUUUCCUGGAGAGACAAUUGCUCACGCGGAGAUGAUGAACAUCACUUGGUGUUUUAAGCAGUACUCGCAGCUCUUGAGCUUCACCACAAUAGCAACAGGAGGUGACUACAAAAUUGUUACAGUAGUACAAUAUCCACUACAGUUGAUUUAUGUUGAUUUACAUUGCUCAUCUGUAAAUGGUGCCACGUAUGGUCUGUAUGUGUAUGUAAGUUUUGGUAAAUUUUAACUUUUUAUAAUAGAUUUGUGUAUAUUUUAUGGUAGUAAAUGAUAAAAAUAGACUAGUUUCUACAUAUAUUUUAUACAUUCACAACAUACCUAACUUUUUCUUAAUUCUUUUGAUAUUUCUAGGCUAUGUGGUUCAUCUGAGCUUUUUCAAAUUUUCACACAUCUACAAAAAAUUUUGCAACACAAUUUAUUGAAAAAAAUCCAAAUAUAUGUGGACCCAUGAAGUUCAAAGUCAUGUUAUUCAAGGGUCAACUGUGUUUUAAUUUUUACUAAGUCAGUGUGGUUUUUCAGAAUUUUCACCAUGAUGUUUUAUAACUUAGCAUUUCUUUUGGUCGUCCCAGUAACUUUUGCUCCCAUUUUCUACAAGUAUUUCUUUUUUAAAAAGGCAAAAUGACAUUCAGUUUCUUAAUGUCUCACCAUGUACCUUCAUAACAUUUGAAGAGCAGCUUAUCUGAUGAGUGCUGAGAGGGCAAAGGCAGUGGGCACUGAUUUCCCAUGAAGUUCGUCUCUUGUUGGUACUGCCAGUUCCCACAAUCCUAGCAUUCUCUGGGCAUCAGUCAGUGUCUACAAAAAAGGAUUUUCAAAUAUUAAAGCAUGUGAAAAGACAAACAGGCCAAAACUCAGAGCUCUCUAGGGACUAUGACCUCCAAAACAGACUCCAUUCUGACAUUUUCACAGGCUACUUGAAGGAAUUCCAGCAGGGUUGUUCCAUUUGGUAAACUCCUAAACAAACCCUCUGUCAUCGAGGACUGAUUUAUAGAAUUUUCUCCUUAUGUGCUUGUUCUGAAGAGAUUAAGACAGUAGAUAUGGUUGCUGAGACUCUUUUAAAAGUCAUUUGAUAUAUAUGAUAAGUACUAUACAGAAGAUUUUUGGUAUUUUGAAGUAAUAAAACAGUUAUUUGUAAUGUUUAAAGAGAUUUUGUGUUCUGAGUUGUCUUCUAAGUUCUUUUUCUUUUUGAUUCCAGGAAAUCUAUGUCAUAAUCACAUCUCUAAGUUUUUUUCAUUAUAAACCCAAUCAUUUAACAAAGAAAUUGAAUAAAUUCAGAAAUUAUCUUUGUAUAAACAAGUAUGUUAAAAAUGUUUAUGCAUAUAUAUAAAUAUAUACAUAUGAUAUAUAUAUAUCAUAUGUUUUACAAUGACCUUUAGAAUAUGUGAAACAGAAACAGUUCGGGUGUUAUAGAAUAUUCUUCUGUGAAAUCUUGGUGUAAUGGCAGCUGUUUAGAUGAUGCUGUAAGGUCACUAGAGGGGGUGGAUCUAUAAGUUGUUUUUCAAUUAAUCUGGAUCCUCUUAAAAUAUUUUAUUGUGUAUUUUUAUGCAUUUCUUUUUUUAAAAAGAAGAAUAUAAUGCUAAAAAUAAAGGAGAAGGGCAGAACCCAAGAGAUUUGGAGCCUGGAGAACUUAAGGAAAUGGGUAGUUGGGAUUUAUUUGGCUUGUAGUUGUCCUUAACUGCUAACAGCCUCAUGGUGGUCUCAUCUGAAGUCUGUGAGUGGCAUGUAUGAAAUUCCAGGGUGAACGGCAUUCCACAUUGGGAGGACCAGGUUUGUUGGGGAAUUUUUGUAUGGUUUGUUUCCUUCUUCGUGUGUUUCUUUUUAAUCCUUUAAAUGAAUUCUUUAACUGAAUUAACAGAGUUUUAACUGCUAAAUGAAAGUCCUAUACAAUCAAAAAUUUCUUAAGAUUUGAUAUCUGAUUCUGUUGUAGGAAUGUAAUAUAUUUUGGGAAUGAGUUUAAAAAUGGGACACAGGCAAGUAAAUUGAUUUAUGAUGCUUUCAACCAAGCUUCACAAAAUUAGUACUAAAAAUAAAAUUCAUGUUAUCAUAUUCUAAUAACCUGUCAUAAACCUAGCAUAUUUUAGGUCUCCUUAGUGGAAAAAAAAGAAAGGAAAUGAAAGUGAAAUAAUAAAUUGCUUAAUUGGUCAAAAUUAGUUAUUGAGUUCUUGGCUGUACUAGAGAAUUGUGUGGCUCUUGAUUGAUGUUUAAAAUAUAAAUAAAAUGUGUAUGCUGAAAAAG
rnacentral:lncRNA from 1 species